UACGUAGGCAGCGAGCGUUGUUCGGAGUUACUGGGCGUAAAGGGUGUGUAGGCGGUUCUCUAAGUUUGGUGUGAAAUCUCCCGGCUCAACCGGGAGGGUGCGCCGAAAACUGGAGGGCUAGAGUGCGGGAAGGGAGAGUAGAAUUCCGUGGUGUAGCGGUGAAAUGCGUAGAUAUCAGGAGGAAUACCGGUGGUGCAGACGGCUCUCUGGACCGCGACUGACGCUGAGACACGAAAGCGUGGGUAGCAAACAGG
rnacentral:rRNA from 1 species